rnacentral:rRNA from 1 species
UCCAGAGCAAUAUCUCCCUGCAAUUCUCACCUGAAGCUAAGCAGGUUUGAGCCUGGCCAGCACCUGGAUGGGAGACCUCCUGGGGAAAACUAAGGUUGCUGCUGGAA